UACUACAUACACACAUGGAUAAGAAACAGGAAGUCGGUUUCCAAUUAAAGCUGUACAAGAUCAAAGGAUGAUGUCAUAUCCUGUGUGCUAUGCUCUUGGCUAAAAUGGUGGCUCUAUGAAUGCUUGAGUGUAUUUUAUAUUUUUUGAAAGUGGUCAUUUUAACCAGAUUAGAUUCAAUCAGUGUCUUUGCUGAAGAGCUAUGUCAUAAAAUGUGUUGGCCUCUCAUAUUUUUGUUGAACCACUUUUACUCGACUGUAGACUUGUUUGGUGAGUGUCCUUUGGAUAUAAUAUGAACACAACUAUGCUACGUGUACUGAAGGUAUUUGCUUGUCUGUGUCACUUAUAAUGACAGAUUUAUAGCCAUUUUAGUUGAUUUUCAGUGGUGUCAUUUGUAAACCACUUGUAUAGAAAACUGUCGAGGCUAUGAAUGUUUUCUUUUGAUUUAUCUGUUCCUUUAUGACUUUUGUGUGUACUGCAA
rnacentral:lncRNA from 1 species